ACGCUCGACACCUACGGGGGGCAGCAGUGGGGAAUAUUGCACAAUGGGGGAAACCCUGAUGCAGCGACGCCGCGUGAGUGAAGAAGUAUUUCGGUAUGUAAAGCUCUAUCAGCAGGGAAGAAAAUGACGGUACCUGAGUAAGAAGCCCCGGCUAACUACGUGCCAGCAGCCACGGUAAUCUGAGCGGGCUGGCAAGGC
rnacentral:rRNA from 1 species